rnacentral:rRNA from 1 species
UACGGAGGGGGUUAGCGUUGUUCGGAAUUACUGGGCGUAAAGCGCACGUAGGCGGACCAUCAAGUUGGGGGUGAAAUCCCGGGGCUCAACCCCGGAACUGCCUCCAAAACUGCUGGUCUUGAGUUCGAGAGAGGUGAGUGGAAUUCCGAGUGUAGAGGUGAAAUUCGUAGAUAUUCGGAGGAACACCAGUGGCGAAGGCGGCUCACUGGCUCGAUACUGACGCUGAGGUGCGAAAGCGUGGGGAGCAAACAGG